rnacentral:lncRNA from 1 species
CCCAGCUGCUGCCAACCCAGACAAUGCGCCCAUUGUUCUGCGUCUCCGGGAGCCAGUGUGCAACUGCGUGUAUCUGUUUCUCUCUGUGUGUGACUGUGUGUAUUGCUCUGUGUCUGUGUGUGUGAGACUUUCUGGCUGUGUGUGUGUGUGCGCGUGUGCCCAGGUGUGCACAUUUGUGGUUGCGUGCGUCUGGAUCUUUGUUUGGCCCUGUAUAUUCAAGGGUGAAGGAGAGAGCCUGGUGAUCCUGCCCUGUAGGUUUGGUCAACUCAGUGUGUGUCAAUGGGAAAAACCGAGAUCAUCCCCUCAAAGUAGAGAUAGCCAGAGUGAGGCCACAGCGAUUUUAUUUGGAGAAUGAAGGGCAGAACCACAGAGAUCUCAGGAGGGAGGGCAAAGGUAACUCAUCGUCAUCCACAGAGAGGGGACUCAGGAUUACGCUGUGCGUCCAGGCCAUCUUCCCUCCCAGCCCAGCCUUGGCACAAGUCGGCCCCAGGAUCAUCAUGUGAUAGAGCCUGAAGCCUGUCUCCCCAAGUCCCUGGAAAGUAGACAUCUGUGACAAUCCUCCCGAAUCCCAGGGCACAGGGAGCAUGGCUGAGCACGCCAGACUGCCUGGGCUCAAAUUCUGUCCUGCCAUGAACUGCCUGGGUGUCUUUGGACAAGUCAUUUGACAGCUCUGAGCCUCCGCCUUCUCAUCUGAGGACAACAGGAAUAAUGAGGGUACCCACCUCAUGGGGAUGUGAUGAGGCUUAAAGAAGAAAAUGCAUGCAAAGUUUUAGCACAGUACCUGGCAGUGAGUAUAUGUGCAAUAAUAUUAAUUAUUACUAUUUUAUCAAGAGGCCUGGAUUCUGGUCCCAGUUCUGCCACUGUUUUCCCUCCCUGGGCCUGCUUGAGUUUCUGUCUAUAAAGUAGGUGUUAAUUGAUUAAAUGAGAUAAUGGAUGCCAAAGAAGCUUCUGAGAUGAGUGAUUAUUUCUGCCCUUUGAAGUUCACUUCCCCGAGGCUGCAGGGUGUUGUCACCCCCACUCUGUCAGGUCUUUACUGGGCUCUCCGUCUAGGCCAGGACCCGUUGCUGAAGGGUCAGCCCAUCUCCUCCCUUCUGCCCACAAGGCAGAAU